rnacentral:rRNA from 1 species
CCGGAUUUAUUGGGUUUAAAGGGUGCGUAGGCGGGACUGUAAGUCAGGGGUGAAAUACUGCAGCUUAACUGUAGCAUUGCCUUUGAAACUGCCGUUCUUGAGUACAGUUGAGGUGGGCGGAAUGUGGUGUGUAGCGGUGAAAUGCAUAGAUAUACCACAGAACGCCGAUCGCGAAGGCAGCUUACUAAGCUGUUACUGACGCUGAGGCACGAAAGCGUGGGGAUCAAACAGGAUUAGAUACCCCGGUAGUCCACGCUGUAAACGAUGAUUACUGGUUGUUAGCGAUAUAUAGCUAGUGACUGAGCGAAAGCAUUAAGUAAUCCACCUGGGGAGUACGUCGGCAACGAUGAAACUCAAAGGAAUUGACGGGGGCCCGCACAGGCGGAGGAACAUGUGGUUUAAUUCGAUGAUACGCGAGGAACCUUACC